rnacentral:rRNA from 1 species
GACAGAGGUCCCGAGCGUUAGGCGGAAUCACUGGGCUUAAAGCGUGUGUAGGCGGAUGCCUAAGUACCUUGUGAAAUCCCACGGCUCACCCGUGGAACUGCUCGGUAUACUGGGUGUCUUGAGCCACUUAGGGGCUACCGGAACAAAUGGUGGAGCGGUGAAAUGCGUAGAUAUCAUUUGGAACGCCAACGGUGAAAACAGGUAGCUGGGAGUGUGCUGACGCUGAGACACGAAAGCCAGGGGAGCAAACGGG